AAGCUCCACCCCCUUCUGUAUUACGCGUGAUUGAAGUCAACCUACUCAAACCUACGUGAGCUGCUUACUUAGUAGGCGUAAGUUCUUUCCUUUUUUUUAUUUGUUUGUUUGUUUCGUUUUCCUUUCAGGCACUGCAGCUAACCGUCUGGCUAGUCAGAAUAGCCCCUCGUGACUGUGUUUCACUAUUAUUCCAUUCCAUAUAGACUUCAGUUUUCUUUCUGAAAAGUCAGAAAUUCAGCCGACAGUAUUCACGUUUUAUUCAAUCGAUUGAAAGGAGACUAGGAAUUGAACAGACAAACACCACAAGACGACAAACGAAAUACAUCCAUAUAUUACAGUGAGGGGAAUUUACGCUUAAAAUGUUGAAAAACUUGUUACCUUCAGGUCCAGCAGUUGUUCCAAGACCGAAACUGUGCAACUCCUGGCUAGACGCAUUUCUACCAGGCCACGGGACCAUAAUUUGAAUGUACUGAUUAACAAAACAAAUGUUUUUUAGUACAAAUUCUUGCAAA